rnacentral:rRNA from 1 species
AUUGAACGCUGGCGGCAGGCCUAACACAUGCAAGUCGAGCGAGUGGCGGACGGGUGAGUAAUGUCUGGGGAACUGCCCGAUAGAGGGGGAUAACUACUGGAAACGGUGGCUAAUACCGCAUACCAUCGGAUGUGCCCAGAUGGGAUUAGCUAGUUGGUGGGGUAAAGGCUCACCUAGGCGACGAGCCCUAGCUGGUCUGAGAGGAUGAUCAGCCACACUGGCACUGAGACACGGUCCAGACUCCUACGGGAGGCAGCAGUGGGGAAUAUUGCACAAUGGGCGCAAGCCUGAUGCAGCCAUGCCGCGUGUAUGAAGAAGGCCUUCGGGUUGUAAAGUACUUUCAGCGGGGAGGCGUUACCCGCAGAAGAAGCACCGGCUAACUCCGUGCCAGCAGCCGCGGUAAUAC